UACGUAGGGGGCUAGCGUUGUCCGGAUUUAUUGGGCGUAAAGAGCGUGUAGGCGGCCGUGUAAGUCCGGUGUGAAAACUCGAGGCUUAACCUCGAGAUGUCAUCGGAAACUAUUCGGCUAGAGUCCGGAAGAGGAGAGUGGAAUUCCUGGUGUAGCGGUGAAAUGCGCAGAUAUCAGGAAGAACACCUAUGGCGAAAGCAGCUCUCUGGGACGGUACUGACGCUGAGACGCGAAAGCGUGGGGAGCGAACAGG
rnacentral:rRNA from 1 species